UUUUUUUUUUUUUUUCUCUGUGAAGCAGACCUGAGGUGGUCCCCUUUUACUUAGGAGGCCAGACUUUUUGAGUAUGUGAACGCCAAACCUUCAAAGCAGCUGGUUAGGGGCAAUUUUUCCCCAGCAGAGAGGCAAAAUACUGUAAGAUGCAAUAUUUUAACUCAGUUCAGUGAAAGGUGUUGCCCCUAGGCGUAGUACUGAGUUGACUCCUAUUUUUCCUCUGUAUGUAUUUGGGGGCUUUAUGGCACAUCCUUGUUCCAUUUCUGUACAUUAUUUCAAGUCCUCUCUCACUUGAUGCUGAACUGCUAAUUCUGAAAUACUACAUUAGAGACUGUCUUCCCGCCUCUGCCUACCAGGAGGAAAGUCUCCUACCUUUUUUCUGUUGGUACUACUGUUUCCAUCCCCUUCCUAGCAGUGUCUGAGAUGUGAGUUUCAUGUGAAUUUUUGUGUGGGAUUAAUAUUGGCAGUAUCAAUAGGUCAGGUUAGUUGACAAGUUCAGUGUCUCUUCCCAUGUUGUGUCCAUGUCAGCCCUGCAGAGGUUCCUCGAGUUGUCCGCAGUGUUUGCUGUGUCCUGUCCAGGUCCAAGGCUUUGCGCUGCUCCUUUCACCUCCCUUCUACCUCCUCCCUCGCUAGCUGCUGCCCAGCCUGUCUUCCUGUGAAAUGGUGUCCGGUGGCUCAGCUCGCGUCCCUCUGCACUGUCCCCCUCGCUGUAGCGUUGUGAGCCAGCUUACUCUGAACUGUCCCUUUACAAAUAUGCUCAGUCUGAAUAUAUAAAUGGAUUGUCAUAUUUUUUUCCAGAGGAGAAUAAAUGGCUAUCCCGCAUUCACCGAUUUCCAUUAACUUUAUCCUUUAGCUUAAGCUCUCCAAAAUAUUUCUAGCAUAUGGGUAUGAGUUGCUUUAUUGAGACCAAACUGGGCUUGGCAAUGAAUAAGCAGGGUGCUGAGCCAGCACUGGAAUAAGCUUUUCUUCGUGAGGAAUGGGAGAUCUCUCCUGGUUCCCUGCAGCUGCUUCCAGCUGUGAGUGUUCACCACCCACACCUCCCUCCCCACCCCAAACGACAUUUCUUCCAGGAAAAUUUCAUCAAUACAUAUGUACCACAAAAUGCUGAUGGCAAGUUACUAAGUGGAUGCAUUGGAACAACUGCAUGGGUAUAACUGGAAAAAACAUAGUCGUCAGCAGAGCACUGUGCUUUUGUAUUUGGGGAAAAUACGAGUGCAAAGACAAACUGCAAAAUGUCUGUGAAGCUGUCUGGUGGGCACAGGAGUCCUGCAGGUGUGUGUUUGAAGCCAAGCAAUAACAUGCCAAAAACCAACACACAAAAAUGAGUCAAUAAUCACCAGCACACCUCAUGGAAAAUAUUUUAGGUUUUCACUUUGUUUUGCUGGGGCAGACUGUAGGCAACCUGCUAGUUUAACGCUGGUUAUUUAUGCUGUCUCCUGCGUACAAUGUCUAGAUGACAAUGUGAAUCCUCAUAGGGAUGAUGCAUCUUUCACCAGCAGCAAAACAGAACCAUGGUUUUGUUAACAAUUAGCAAAUAUUAUGUGAGUGGUCUUGUAGCAGCCAAAAAAGACUGUUCCUGGUGUCACAUCAGCGUUGAAAAUGAAAGUGUGCUUGGAGUAGUGGUAUGGCAGAGGGUAGGGGGAGAUGAUCCAUGUGCCCCCACUCUUUUUCUUUGCCCAGUGACUCAGAAUCACAUUGCACUGGUUGGAUGUUUAACAACCAAGGAAAUCCAUUUGGGCUAAUAAAAAGAGGGUUCAAAACAGAAAGUACUUUGUCAUUCCCAAGACUAAAUCUGUACAGAAAAAAAGAAAAAAGAAAAAGACCUGUGUUGCAGCCUAGCCAGUUGAAGUAACUCUUAAAUUCAAUGUGUUGCAAGAUGAGAAGUCUUGGGAAACAAGCUAAUUGUCAGGAAACUCUUCCUUGUUGGUUGCAUCUUCUGGGAAGGCUGACGUGCCAUAACCAUUAAUAAAAGCAGUGAAUGAGAAUGAAAGAGUUACUUCUAAUUUCACUUCAGGAGCUUUCCACCAGGAGAGAUGAGAAUAAGCAUGUUUCAACGUUGCCAAUACAAAACCUGAGUUGAAGGAGAACCUCACUGCAGGCAAUUUGCAAUAUAGUCCUGGAUUUCAUGUGAGGCUGUGACUCCACCUCUGUCUGUGUGCACUUGGUUGGUGUCUGCCAGCUUUGCAUUGCCUUGGGCACAAGUGCUGAAGUCCUGCCCCGUUUCUGCUGACUUGGUUUGGAAAAAAGAGUGGGGAAAGAGCUGGAGGGACAAGGAGGAGAAUAUCUGUCUUCUGCAUUUCAGAGGAAGAAAACCUUCUUUGGAAUAUACAAGAAGGAAUUGCUAAGAAACAUGGGGAGGGAGGGACCAAAAGAGAAGUAAAAUGAAGUUGAUGUAGGUGUUUUGCAAGGAAUUCCCCUUUCUAUGUCUAUAAAGCCAAUGUUUUGCUUAAGUUUUGCCUAUUUGUUCAUUCUGAGCUCACACAUUUUUCAUAUUGUUGGUGUCCCGUGGUUUUUAGGAAAAUGAACAUUUUCAAAGUCUGUAUAUUUUGCUAGUAUGCAAACAACCUCAGUUUAUUACUGCUGCUACCAUGUAAGAGCUUGUAAAGUCCACCAUUUGGAGAAGUAUAUUGAAGGGAUUCGGAAAAGGUGAAUAUAUGCUCUAAAGAGAACACUAGCUUUUAUCUUGAAUUUCAUGACUAUGUUGAAGUGUUAAAGCUACAAGUGGAAAUCCAAAUGGAAAUCAGCGUUGAAGUUGAUGGGAAAUUCAAAUUGUCUGCCAUUGGUUUUCAGUUUGGAAACUUGAUGGAAUCUACCAUACCAGUGUUUCAUUACUUAGCUCAGUAUAUGCAAGAUUUGUAUGAAAGUAGAAAUUUUAUUAGCUUAUUAGCUCCGUUGUCUUGUUGCGUGUCCAUCCUUCUACACCUUUUAAAAAUGAAUGCAAAAGAUUACCAAGACAGAGUAAGUCUUUCAUACCCAACUUACGGAAAUGGCUGCUCUGAAUGAGAGACAACUGAUUGUCAGGCUCCAUGGUCUUAGAAAGUUAAGGGCUACGGUCUGAAGGAAACCUUUCCCUCUGUUUGGUUUGGGUUUUUUCCCCCUGUUUUUGUAACAUCUCAACCUCUGCCAGUUUAUUUUUUGGUGACUCUGUGAUGCCUGUCUGAGUGGACAGCACUUUCAGUCAUCCCAAAGAUAUGCACAUAGAUCCCUAUCCAAAUGCCACACAUUACCAAAUAUCUCUGGAGUCACUGGAUGCUGUGGUGGUCCAUGGAGCUGAAGGUCAGGUCCUGUACAUUGAAAUGGCUGCAGUGUUCUCUUAGGGGCCUAAAUUAUGCCACUUGAGUCAGUGCAGAUGUUUAAAAGAAAGAAUUAAUUAUUACAGCUGAAUCGAGCCAAACUGAAAUGAAUAUAAUCCCUUUUUUUUGAAACUCUGAGAUUUAUUGGGUUUUCUGCUUUGUAUUUUUCUGAACAGCUCUUCCUUCCCAGCAUUUAUAAUGUGGAUUUUUCAUCAAAUCCUGACAAGGAAGAUUUUGCAAUGUGAAACAUAUCUUUCAUCAUUCAGGCUUCUUUAAAGAAGAAAAUGAUGUUAAUACUGAGCCCAGUCACACAGAGAGGAAAUAUUUUUUCCUCUAGGAAAAUGUUUGCUGUAGGUAAGCUUAUGUGUUGCAUGUGUCCAUGUUUAAAAGGGGCAUACACAUGUGCAGGUCUCAUGCAUUACUCAUACUCAUUAAGAUGAUUUUUUUCCCAUUGCCCUUCUGAUUGAAUGCUGGAGGCUUAGCAUUUUCCACAAGUUUGAAGCAAGUUUAGAUCACUCUGCAAUACAGAAACAAGGAUUUUCUCCUUAUCUGGUCUCAAAAAAUUCCCACAGCCAUAUCUAAAAAAAAACCACCAGUUGGCCAACCUCUGGGUCUAGACUGUCAACAGAAAGUGCAGUGGCUGGGGUGUACAGAGCUGUACACUGGCUCCUGAGCUUUGUGGAAAUCCACCCUUGUAUGUACAAACUGGCUUCUACACAAAGACAAUGUGUGAUAGCAAGCAUCUGAGCUCAUUAGGAACAGAAUCAUGUCAACUGGGUCCCAUUUGAAAUACUAGACCUUAAGUUUUUGUUAGCUUUCUGCUUAGACUGACACUAUCUGGAGUAGAAAUAAAUGACAAUUCUGCCAGCAAAGUCUCCAGCAGUUUGCUGCAGAAUACAAGUCUCUCCGAUGCUUCUCAGCAGCUCUGCUACAACAGGCAACCCUUCUGUUGGAGGGUCCUCCUGACAACACUUCCCUUAGCCCAGUUCAUAAUCAAUAGUUUCAAGUACAUCAAACACAAGUUUAGACAGUGCCCUGAAGAAUUUCAGUAAAAUGGUAAAGAUCCAUGCAUUCGUGGUACAUAAAAUCACGUCUGAAGUUAAGGUCUCGGCUGCACCCUGAAAAGUGUUGGGAGUUUCUACCCAGAGUUAAAGGGAGAGAGGGUAGGUGAACUUUGAAUUCCUGGCUGUUGCAAGCACCACAGAAAUGAUGGCUGUGAAUCAGUCAGCAGCAGCAGAAAACCAACUUGGGGGCUUCUAACAACAACUAAUAUUAUUGUGGCUUUAUUAUUUUUAUAGUUACACUGACUGAACGUGAUGUACUGUACAAAGUAAAGCUAGUAUUAGGCUUCCAGGUGUACCGUGGCAUUCAUUCGAGACAUACCAACAGAAGUUUGCAUGUGAAGAAGUCUUACAGUGGUACUAAAGCAAUGUUACCCACCUGAUCGAGUCCCUUGGGAAUUUAAUGUUUUGCUGUUUUACAUCUCCUGGUUUCCAUGCUGAGUACAAUAAAAUGAACACUGUC